GACGAACGCUGGCGGCGUGCUUAACACAUGCAAGUCGAACGGAAAGGCCCUGCUUUUGUGGGGUGCUCGAGUGGCGAACGGGUGAGUAACACGUGAGUAACCUGCCCUUGACUUUGGGAUAACUUCAGGAAACUGGGGCUAAUACCGGAUAGGAGCUCCUGCUGCAUGGUGGGGGUUGGAAAGUUUCGGCGGUUGGGGAUGGACUCGCGGCUUAUCAGCUUGUUGGUGGGGUAGUGGCUUACCAAGGGUUUGACGGGUAGCCGGCCUGAGAGGGUGACCGGCCACAUUGGGACUGAGAUACGGCGCAGACUCCUACGGGAGGCAGCAGUGGGGAAUAUUGCACAAUGGGCGGAAGCCUGAUGCAGCAACGCCGCGUGCGGGAUGACGGCCUUCGGGUUGUAAACCGCUUUCGCCUGUGACGAAGCGUGAGUGACGGUAAUGGGUAAAGAAGCACCGGCUAACUACGUG
rnacentral:rRNA from 1 species